AACCAGAGAUGUUAAACAGAAUGCUUUUGGUUGCUUUGAUGAAAAUAACCAAGGAUACAUCAACGAGGAGCACUUGAGAGAACUGCUCGUUUCUAUGGGUGAUCGGUUCACUGAUUAGGAUGUUGAUGAGAUGUACCGAGAGGCUCCCAUCAAGAACUCAAUGUUUGACUACGUGGAGUUCACUCGCAUCCUCAAGCACGGAGCCAAGGAUCUAGAGGACCAGUAAUCUUAGCAUCAGCUGUGAUGAUAGCGAGCGAGAGAGGACUGUUUCCAAAACAUGCAUUAAUAGUUUAUCUUCCCUUAGAGAAAGCUUGUGAUUGAUCAGCCAUAUAGUUAUAGAAGCAGCAAAGGGGGGAAUGAUUGGUUUGUUGAAAAUAUUUAUAUAAUGUGAACCUGUGAGAGAGAAUUGCUAGACAAUUACUUUAGGUAAUGAUAAACUUAUCGGAAAUAUUAUAUGAAUUUUGAAGUAAUAAUCGUCUACAAUUUUUUGUUCCCUUUUUUUCUUUUUGUAUCCCAAUAUUUUGGCUGCUAUUCUACUUCCCCUGAUCCAAAACAUGAUUGACUGUCAGCUUGAUAAAGGAGAAACUAUAUAUGACAGUGUGGAAGCAGAUUAAAGUGCUACACCAUUGGCUCACUAAUCAACACUAAAGGAAAAUCUGAUAUACUGAUAUAUGUAGAUUGGUAGAGCAUGCUUUGAGAUCAGACUUUAUUUAACACUAUGGUACAGUGCUAUUUAUUACCUUAUGGAAAUAUAUCUUUAUAAAUUCACUGUUAUUAGUACUUAAUAGUGCCUUAGCUUGGAAAGGGCCAGUGGCUGAAAAGAUCCUGUGUUGACUUACUAAUGUUAUAUUUCAUUACUUAAACUAACAAAUUUAUAUAAUAUUUCUGUAAUCUUCAUUCCAAAGGUUUGUAAUAUUUCUUUUUUUUUUUGCAUUAAUUAGCAUUCUUCAUUUUAUACAAGCUUCUUUAUUGAUUAUGAAAACACUUUCUAGUGCAAAAUUUUAUACCAUAACUGUACUCAGUAUUUCCUAAAUAUAUUCCAUAAAAUCUU